GACAGCCAGGAUGCCCUGCCCCAUCACUGCCCUCCUGAAGGCCAGGAGCUAGGAAAUAAGCUUAGUGCAGAUGUUGAUGGACAACAUAGAGUGCAGGUGAUAUGCGCCUUCCAGGCCUCGAGUCCAAAACGGGUCAGCGAGGGGUCCGUGCCCUGCCAGGAGGUGACUGAUUGGCCAAGAGAGAAGCAGCUGGUGGAGAAGGAGCCGUUUGAGUGGGGGGACGGCGGACCAAGCUGAGGAGCAACGCUGCCCCACAGGGACUGCAAGAUCAGAGUCCCUCGUGUGCACGUGCAGCAUGCGCAUUUGCUGGCAGCCGGGUCUACAGCCCCGACACGCCCCAAAG